rnacentral:rRNA from 1 species
GGGUUGUGAGGUUAAGCGACUAAGCGUACACGGUGGAUGCCCUGGCAGUCAGAGGCGAUGAAGGGCGUGCUAAUCUGCGAUAAGCGCCGGUAAGGUGAUAUGAACCGUUAUAACCGGCGAUACCCGAAUGGGGAAACCCAGUGUGAUUCGUCACACUAUCAUUAACUGAAUCCAUAGGUUAAUGAGGCGAACCGGGGGAACUGAAACAUCUAAGUACCCCGAGGAAAAGAAAUCAACCGAGAUUCCCCCAGUAGCGGCGAGCGAACGGGGAGGAGCCCAGAGCCUGAAUCAGCAUGUGUGUUAGUGGAAGCGUCUGGAAAGGCGCGCGAUACAGGGUGACAGCCCCGUACACAAAAGCGCAUGUGCUGUGAGCUCGAUGAGUAGGGCGGGACACGUGGUAUCCUGUCUGAAUAUGGGGGGACCAUCCUCCAAGGCUAAAUACUCCUGACUGACCGAUAGUGAACCAGUACCGUGAGGGAAAGGCGAAAAGAACCCCGGCGAGGGGAGUGAAAAAGAACCUGAAACCGUGUACGUACAAGCAGUGGGAGCACCCUUUGGGUGUGACUGCGUACCUUUUGUAUAAUGGGUCAGCGACUUAUAUUCUGUAGCAAGGUUAACCGAAUAGGGGAGCCGGAGGGAAACCGAGUCUUAACCGGGCGUUAAGUUGCAGGGUAUAGACCCGAAACCCGGUGAUCUAGCCAUGGGCAGGUUGAAGGUUGGGUAACACUAACUGGAGGACCGAACCGACUAAUGUUGAAAAAUUAGCGGAUGACCUGUGGCUGGGGGUGAAAGGCCAAUCAAACCGGGAGAUAGCUGGUUCUCCCCGAAAGCUAUUUAGGUAGCGCCUCGUGAAUUCAUCUCCGGGGGUAGAGCACUGUUUCGGCUAGGGGGCCAUCCCGGCUUACCAACCCGAUGCAAACUGCGAAUACCGGAGAAUGUUAUCACGGGAGACACACGGCGGGUGCUAACGUCCGUCGUGAAGAGGGAAACAACCCAGACCGCCAGCUAAGGUCCCAAAGUCAUGGUUAAGUGGGAAACGAUGUGGGAAGGCCCAGACAGCCAGGAUGUUGGCUUAGAAGCAGCCAUCAUUUAAAGAAAGCGUAAUAGCUCACUGGUCGAGUCGGCCUGCGCGGAAGAUGUAACGGGGCUAAACCAUGCACCGAAGCUGCGGCAGCGACACUGUGUGUUGUUGGGUAGGGGAGCGUUCUGUAAGCCUGUGAAGGUGUGUCGUGAGGCAUGCUGGAGGUAUCAGAAGUGCGAAUGCUGACAUAAGUAACGAUAAAGCGGGUGAAAAGCCCGCUCGCCGGAAGACCAAGGGUUCCUGUCCAACGUUAAUCGGGGCAGGGUGAGUCGACCCCUAAGGCGAGGCCGAAAGGCGUAGUCGAUGGGAAACGGGUUAAUAUUCCCGUACUUGGUGUUACUGCGAAGGGGGGACGGAGAAGGCUAUGUUGGCCGGGCGACGGUUGUCCCGGUUUAAGCGUGUAGGUGUGUGUUCCAGGUAAAUCCGGUUCACUUUAACACUGAGGCGUGACGACGAGGCACUACGGUGCUGAAGCAACAAAUGCCCUGCUUCCAGGAAAAGCCUCUAAGCAUCAGGUAACAUCAAAUCGUACCCCAAACCGACACAGGUGGUCAGGUAGAGAAUACCAAGGCGCUUGAGAGAACUCGGGUGAAGGAACUAGGCAAAAUGGUGCCGUAACUUCGGGAGAAGGCACGCUGACACGUAGGUGAAGUGAUUUACUCAUGGAGCUGAAGUCAGUCGAAGAUACCAGCUGGCUGCAACUGUUUAUUAAAAACACAGCACUGUGCAAACACGAAAGUGGACGUAUACGGUGUGACGCCUGCCCGGUGCCGGAAGGUUAAUUGAUGGGGUCAGCGCAAGCGAAGCUCCUGAUCGAAGCCCCGGUAAACGGCGGCCGUAACUAUAACGGUCCUAAGGUAGCGAAAUUCCUUGUCGGGUAAGUUCCGACCUGCACGAAUGGCGUAAUGAUGGCCAGGCUGUCUCCACCCGAGACUCAGUGAAAUUGAACUC